CCCAGGCAAGAAAGGAUGUUUGAUUUGGUUUAAUUUCAGAACAAUGAACCAUACUUCACUUUGUUCAUUUUUUCACAUAAAGGAUAUAUCACAAGUCUUACUAGGAUUCAUGAUUCCCGAGGUCAGAGAGCCAUCUGUAUCUCUUUAAGAAGCAAGAAGAGUAAUGCAAGGCAGAUACCAUGAAGAUCAGGUCAUGAAUCCUAAUAUGAAGAUUUCAGAGGCUUUUGUGAAAUCAAGAAACUGUGACUGCUGCAUACCAGAACAAGAGAUGCAACUCACCAGAGGCUGCACACCCACACCUGAGAAGGAUGAGAAAGAAUGUGGUACAAAGAGAAAGUGGGAAUGGGAUGAAGAAGGAGUCUUGAAGAAACGUCCCGUCAGCAAAACCCUCCCAGCCCAAUUGAGCUUUGGGCUCAAUUUAAGUUGAACAAAUAUGUCAGGUGCGAGGAUAUCAACAUGUUCUCCUUUGAGUUCAACUUAACCCAUGCACAGAUUGAAGAGUGGUUCCUUAAACACAGAAAAAAAUUGUAUGGAAAAAAUGUUCUUUGAAUACAAUGAUGGUCAGAAUAAAUGAACUCAAUCAAAUUUGUAAAUAUGGGUAUAUAUGCUUCUACAAAUCAUGAGUAUAAGGAAGAAGAAUGAAAACAAUGAAGAAUAAAUAAAGUUGACUCCCAAAGAUUUUUUAGACAAAGAGUACAUCCUGAUCUACUUUCUUUUUUUUCUGAAACAUGGGAUGCACAAAGUUAGAGAAGCCACCCCAAAUGUUCAUGGGGACUAUUUGUGUCCCCUCUGUGGCAGAACACUGCAAGCUCAUAUUGGCGUGAUCAGCCACAGUCAGACACAAUAACUUGAUUCUAACAUAAUGAUGUCCCUCGAGAAUGAAAGACAACAACCAACCGUUUUCAAUGAGACUCCUGGGUAUGAGAUGUCAUGCCAUCAUUUUGAUUUUCAAAUACAUCAUGCAUGCCUAGAAUAGUCACACUGGAGAAACCCUAAAGGCACAUGUAUGGUAGAGUUCAUCUCUUUAAUAUUAAGUGUGUUCUGUAUCCCCAGUCUUGCUCUCAUUGGGAGAAGUCUUGCUCCUCUCCCAUGUCUGGAGUGCCUCCCCCCAUUAUGUCAUCCCCAUCUCUGGUGGCUCCCCCCACCCUGUCAGAGUGUUCCCCCUCUCAGACCCUGACUCUACCCCUGCCUUGGUCCACCCCCUGUGUCUGAGCUACCUGUAUAUAUGUCAUUGAGAACUCACAUUGUUUGCUGGAUUCUUGGAGACAACAGUGUCAUUCAGCCCUGGGACCAAACCAUGGAUCUAGUUGGUCCUAGUAAAUCUCUUUCUUUCAAAUAAAAUAGUAAU